rnacentral:ncRNA from 1 species
CCGGAAAGAUUGCCUCAGUUCGGAUUGUUCUCUGCAACUCGGGAACAUGAAGUUGAAAUCGCUAGUAAUCGCGGAUCAGCAUGCCGCGGUGAAUAUGUACCCGGGCCCUGUACACACCGCCCGUCACACCCUGGGAAUUGGUUUCACCCGAAGCAUCGGACCAAUGAUCACCCAUGACUUCUGUGUACCACUAGUGCCACAAAGGCCUUUGGUGGUCUUAUUGGCGCAUACCACGGUGGGGUCUUCGACUGGGGUGAAGUCGUAACAAGGUAGCC